UAGUUUAACGGCCGCGGUACCCUGNCCGUGCAAAGGUAGCAUAAUCACUUGUUCCUUAAAUAGGGACUGGUAUGAAUGGCACCACGAGGGCUUUACUGUCUCCUUUUCCUAAUCAGUGAAACUGAUCUCCCUGUGAAGAAGCAGGGAUAUAAAUAUAAGACGAGAAGACCCCAUGGAGCUUUAAACCCAACAACAACCCUAAUUUUUNUAAUACAUUAUAAUUAUAUAAGUUCUGUCCGUUGGUUUUAGGUUGGGGUGACCGCGGAGUAAAACUUAUCCUCCACGACGAAUGGGACUACCCCCUUAUCCAAGAGCCACUUCUCUAANAAUUAACAAAUUGACGUUUAAUGAUCCAAUUUCUUUGAUCAACGAACCAAGUUACCCUGGGGAUAACAGCGCAA
rnacentral:rRNA from 1 species